rnacentral:lncRNA from 1 species
GCGGGUAUAUUUGGUUAAUUGUGGUAUCAAAUGAAAGCUUGGGGACUUGGGAUCACUUUACAAACCUUGUUGAAAGAUUUAUUUGAAUAAUAAAGAAGUAUUUGAAAUUUUGAUAGAAGGGCACAUUUGACCGGUUGUUCAGAUCAGACGUUCCUGUUUUUGUACUAUCAAACUUCAGGGAACCAGAACGCUCUAAUAUGCGAUUAAAGG